rnacentral:tRNA from 1 species
GGUAGGAUGGCUGAGAGCCAAGCGGUGGAUUGUAGCCCCAUAGACAGAGGUUAAACUCCUCUUCCCACCA